ACACACACACACACACACACACACCGCUAGCUAACAAAGACACAAUACAGACGUACAUAUGUGUGUGUGUGUGUGUGUGUGUGUGUGUGUGUGUGUGUGUGUGUGUGUGUGUGUGUGUGUGUGUGUGUGUGUGUGUGUGUGUGUGUGUGUGUGUGUGUUAACCCCCCCUCCUCCUCCUUCUCUUCCUCCACCCCUAUAAUUGAGUGAGCAUGUGUAGAGGAGGAGGAGGAGGAGGAGGAGGAGGAGGAGGAGGAAGAUCUUCACCAACCCCACACCUCUUCUCUUCCUCCUCCUCCUCUUCUUCCUCUUCCGCUAUGCCCUACCUAGACCAGCCAAGGUCGGGAGGAGAUGGGAAGAAGAGGAGGAGGAGGAGGAGGAGGAAGAAAGGGAGGGAGGGAGAGAAAAAACUCCUCCCCCUUUUUUCUCUCUAUAUAUACAAAAACUGAGAGGGAGAGAAGGGGGGAAGGGGGGGCAUGUAUGUAUGUAUGUAUGUAUGUAUGUGUGUGUGCGUGUGUGUGUGUAUGUAUGUCAGUAUGUACAUAAUAAGUAUACACAUGAACGUAUUUUAAUAAUGGAAUAAGGAGGAGCGGGAAGAGGAGGAGGAGGAGGAGGAGGAGGAGGAGGAGGAGGAAGACAGGGGAAGAGAGGAGGGGAGAAGAGAAGGAAGGAGCAGAGAGAGAGAGAGAGAGAGAAGGGGGGGUCAAAAAAAGGGUGGGGGGUUAGGGGGGGCUGGUAUGAAUGCAUUGAGAUCAUCGUCAUCAUCAUCAUCAUCGUCAUUAUUAAGUUAACAAUAUGUACAGCAUCUUCACCUGUGUGUGUGUGUGUGUGUGUGUGUGUGUGUGUGUGUGUGUGUGUGUGUGUGUGUUGUAUUGCUUUCUUUCCUUUCCUUUCAAUCUUCUCUCUCUCUCUCUCUCUCUACCUUCCCCCCCCUUUCUUUCCCCUCCAUUCACUUCCCAGGUUUCAUUUUCUCUUUCCCUUCCAUCCUUCCUUUCUUUUUUUCCUUUUCAUCCAUUCCCUUCCUCUUUUUUAACUCUCUUUUCUUCUCUCUCUUCCUCUUCCAUCCUAUCUCUCUUCCUUCCUUCACUUUCAUUGGCUUCGUUUUCCUCUCCCUCCUCUUCCCUCUUCUGUUCUCUCCUUCCUUCCCUAUCUUCUCUUUCCUAACUUCCUUUUCCUUCCCUUAUUCCCUCUUAAUUUUGUUCCCUUCCUCUCCUUUUCCUUUCUUUCCUAACUCUUUUCAUUUCCUUCCUUCUUCAUUUCCUAUUCAUUCCCUCCUUCAUCUUUCUUCUCCUCUCUUCCUUCCUUCCUUCCUUCUUUCUACCACUCACACACACACACAUCUACCCACCCACCCACCCACACACACACACACACCUAUUAAACACACACACACACACACACACACACACACACACACACACACAUACAUACAUAUAUAAGUAUACAUAUAUAUAUAUAAACUACUGCAUAUUUCUGGCUUGUGUAUGUAUUGAGAGGAGGGGGAGGAGGAGGAAGGUGAAGGUGGAGGGGGGAGGGGGAGAAUGCACCCCUUACAAAAUACGUAAGGGUAAUGGAGGGGGGUGGGGGGCUGGGGGGGCCACUUGGGGGGGGGUUGGAUAUCUGACUUCUUAUACAAAAUACCUAAGGGGAAAGGGGGUGAAUUUUGGGGGGUUCUGGGGGGUUUACUGGGGGGGGGGGGGGGAAGGGGGGGAGGUACACACUUAACAAAUAUAUUCUUUUUUCUUCUAUGUUAUUAUUAUUAUCAUUAUCAUUAUUAGUAAAGAGUAAAAAAUCGUUUAAUAAAAAUCACAGAUAUUAUUUUAUUUAUUCAUAGUAUUUCUUGCUUGCUUCCUUAGUGUGUGUGUGUGUGUGUGUGUGUGUGUGUGUGUGUAUGUAUGAGAGUCCGUGUACGUGUAAUAUGUUUCUGUGUGUACGCAUAUGUGUGUGUGUGUGUGUGUACGUAGAUAUGAGCGAGGGAGGGAAGGAAGAAGGGAGAGGAAGAGGGGUGCUGGAAAAGAAGAGGGUAGGGAAGGGGAAGGGGGUUGAAAAUGAAGGGGGGUGUCUGUAUGGGGGGUGAGAGGGGGGUAUGGAAGGGGUGUCUAUGGGGUAGGUGAGAGGGGGUCUGUAUGGGUGUGUGAGGGGUAGGAGGGGGAGGGGGGGCAGGGAAGGGGGGGGGGGGUAGUGGAGGGAGGGGGUUACAAAAAACAUUGGAAAAUUUAUCAACAAAUAUUUUUAUAACAUCAAAAAAAUCUUACCAUUAUUAUUAUUAUUAUCAUUAUUAUUAUUAUUAUUACUAUUAUUUCAGGGGGAACAGGGGGGGCAAGGGAGGCGAGGGGGGCAAGGGGGGGUGGGGGGCAUCAUCAUAACAUAUAUAUAUACCAUCAUUAUCAUUAUUAACAGAGCACUGGAAUUAAACCUUACAAGUGGGGUGAUGUGUAUUGGAGGGGGGGGGGGGGAUCGGGGUGGGGGGUUGAGGGGGGUGGAGUGUGUGUGUGUGUGUUCGUGUGUUUGUCUGGCUAGCGGUAGAAAAAAUUGGCUCUUCUAUCAUCGUCAUCAUCAUCAUCAUUUUCUAAGUCAUCAUUUUCACAUUUUCUUUUUUUAAUGUUUCUUUCUUUCAUAAUGUUUUCUUUCUUUCUUUUCUCUUUUCUUUCAUUUUCUAAGUCAUCAUUUUCACACAUUUUCUUUUUUUUAAUGUUUCUUUCUUUCUUUCUUUUUAUCUCUCACCUCCUUCUCCUCUCUCUCUCUCUCUCUCUCUCUCUCUCUCUCUCUCUCUCUCUCUCUCUCUCUCUCUCUCUCUUCAUCAUUUUCACACUCUCUCUCUCUCUCUCUUUUUUCCCUCCUGUUUCUCCACUUCUUUUCUGUUUUUCCUUCCUUCCUCUCUCUAAUCUCUCUUCACUUUCUUUUUUUUCUCUCUCUCUCUCACUUUGUCAUAUUAUCUCUCAAUUUCUCUUCCUUUCUCUCUCACUUCCUCUAUCUCAACUCUCUCCCGUCAGUUCAGCAUCACUUCACAUAGCAUGGAAGUGAGCUAACUCUAAUCUCUCUUUCUUUCUAUUUGUCUUUAUCACUGUCUUUCUUUCUCUCUCUCUCUCUAUUUCUUUCUUUCCUUUAGUUUCCAUCUCUGUUUCCAAGUCUUUUCUUGCUUUAAUUUUUCUCUCUCUUUCUUUCUCUUUUCUUUAGUCUCUGUCUCUCUCUCUCUCUCUCUAUCUAUCUCUCCUUCUUUCUGUAUUUUUUCUUUCUUUCUUUCUUUCUUUCUCUCUCUCACUUAACACAUAUCACACACUGUCUUUAAAUUCUUCUUCCUCUUCCUCUUUCUUCUUCUUCCUCUUCCUCUUCUUCUUCUUCUUCUUCUUCUUCUUCUUCUUCAUUUCUUCUUAAUGUCUUUUUCUUCUUCCUUCCUCUUCAUCUUCAUAUCCUUACACACACACACACACACACACACACACACACACACACACACACACA